GAUGGGGAAGGUUCCACGGAACCGAAGUAUCUGAUUUCAUGCUUCCAAGAAAAGCAUCUAGAAAGAGAAGUAGUGCCCGUACCGCAAACCGACACAGGUAGAUGAGGAGAGAAUCCUAAGGCCGACGGAAGAAUCACAGUUAAGGAACUAGGCAAAUUGACCCCGUAACUUCGGGAGAAGGGGUGCCUACCAUUUGGUAGGCCGCAGAGAAUAGGCACAAGCAACUGUUUAACAAAAACACAGGUCUCUGCUAAAGCGUAAGCUGAUGUAUAGGGGCUGACGCCUGCCCGGUGCUGGAAGGUUAAGGGGAACACUUAGCGCAAGCGAAGGUGUGAACUUAAGCCCCAGUAAACGGCGGCCGUAACUAUAACGGUCCUAAGGUAGCGAAAUUCCUUGUCAGGUAAGUUCUGACCCGCACGAAUGGCGUAAUGACUUGUGCACUGUCUCAACUGUGAAUCCGGCGAAGUUGUAGUGCGAGUGAAGAUGCUCGCUACCCGCGAUUGGACGGAAAGACCCCGUAGAGCUUUACUGUAGCUUAGCAUUGAAUUUCGGUAUUGUCUGUACAGGAUAGGUGGGAGACUGGGAAAUUAGGGCGUCAGCCUUAAUGGAGUCGUUGUUGGGAUACCACCCUGAUAGUAUUGAAGUUCUAACUGGAUGCCAUGAAACUGGUGACAGGACAUUGUUAGGUGGGCAGUUUGACUGGGGCGGUCGCCUCCUAAAAUGUAACGGAGGCGCCCAAAGGUUCCCUCAGAACGGUCGGAAAUCGUUCGUAGAGUGUAAAGGCAUAAGGGAGCCUGACUGCGAGACCUACAAGUCGAGCAGGGACGAAAGUCGGGCUUAGUGAUCCGGUGGUACCUCGUGGGAGGGCCAUCGCUCAACGGAUAAAAGCUACCUCGGGGAUAACAGGCUGAUCUCCCCCAAGAGUUCACAUCGACGGGGAGGUUUGGCACCUCGAUGUCGGCUCGUCGCAUCCUGGGGCUGAAGUAGGUCCCAAGGGUUGGGCUGUUCGCCCAUUAAAGCGGCACGCGAGCUGGGUUCAGAACGUCGUGAGACAGUUCGGUCCCUAUCCGUCGCGGGCGUAGGAAAUUUGAGAGGAGCUGUCCUUAGUACGAGAGGACCGGGAUGGACUGACCUAUGGUGUACCAGUUGUUUCGCCAGAAGCAUAGCUGGGUAGCUAAGUCGGGAAGGGAUAAACGCUGAAAGCAUCUAAGUGUGAAGCCCACCUCAAGAUGAGAUUUCCCAUAGCAUAAGCUAGUAAGACCCCUUGAAGACUACAAGGUUGAUAGGUCAGAGGUGUAAGUGCGGUAACGUAUUUAGCUGACUGAUACUAAUAGGUCGAGGGCUUGACCAA
rnacentral:rRNA from 1 species